GUUGUUUAGUUGAAAAUUAAUUAAAUAAUUUUUGAUUUUGAGUAGUAUUGACUUCAUCAGCUUGCUGCUUUCUUUUCGGAAAUUAUUUAAUGCACUUUUCAGUUAACAAGUCAACAUCAAUUUCUUUUGUUGUAAAAGGGUAAGAGGAAGGUGGCUUACAUUUCGGUGUAAGUGUUUAUAGCCUUUUACCUCUGCAAUCGGAGAGAUUGAGGUCAGCAGCGUAGACUCUUCGGGGUUAGAUACGCUUGUGCUAAGCUAUAGCCUUGUAUAGACAACUUGUUGACUAUGCUCAGUCAUGUAGCUUACUCGCUUGUAGUAUUUUACCUAC
rnacentral:rRNA from 1 species